GGCCAACAUCGGUUCUGAGGGUCGGUCAAAGGCCUUGGGAAUGUAUCUACCUACGGGUAGACUUAUAGACCAGGGUGUCAUGCGGCCUCUCGGGACCGAGGAACGCGCUUCGGCUCGGAUGUUGGCGUAAUGGUUGUCAGCGA
rnacentral:rRNA from 1 species